UAGGGGAAUCUUCGGCAAUGGGGGGCAACCCUGACCGAGCAACGCCGCGUGAGUGAAGAAGGUUUUCGGAUCGUAAAGCUCUGUUGUAAGAGAAGAACGUGUGUGAGAGUGGAAAGUUCACACAGUGACGGUAACUUACCAGAAAGGGACGGCUAACUACGUGCUAG
rnacentral:rRNA from 1 species